rnacentral:rRNA from 1 species
CACGUAGGGGGCAAGCGUUGUCCGGAUUUAUUGGGCGUAAAGAGCUCGUAGGCGGUUCGGUAAGUCGGGUGUGAAACCUCCAGGCUCAACCUGGAGAUGCCACCUGAUACUGCUGUGACUCGAGUCCGGUAGGGGAGCGUGGAAUUCCUGGUGUAGCGGUGAAAUGCGCAGAUAUCAGGAGGAACACCGGUGGCGAAGGCGGGUCUCUGGGCCGAUACUGACGCUGAGGAGCGAAAGCGUGGGGAGCGAACAGG